rnacentral:misc_RNA from 1 species
CUGAGUUUUCAACUCUCCAAACCAUGUGAACUUACCACUGUUGCCUCGGUGGUUGGUCUUCGGACUGACCACCGGUGGACUACUAAACUCUUGUUAAUUUUGGCAUUCUGAAUCAUAACUAAGAAAUAAGUUAAAACUUUCAACAACGGAUCUCUCGGUUCUGGCAUCGAUGAAGAACGCAGCGAAAUGCGAUAAGUAAUGUGAAUUGCAGAAUUCAGUGAAUCAUCGAAUCUUUGAACGCACAUUGCGCCCAUUAGUAUUCUAGUGGGCAUGCCUGUUCGAGCGUCAUUUCAACCCUUAAGCCUAGCUUAGUGUUGGGAGACUGCCUAAUACGCAGCUCCUCAAAACCAGUGGCGGAGUCUGUUCGUGCUCUGAGCGUAGUAAUUCUUUAUCUCGCUUCUGUAAGCCGGUCAGACGACAGCCAUAAACCGCACCCUUCGGGGGCACUUUUUAAUGGUUGACCUCGGAUCAGGUAGGAAUACCCGCUGAACUUAAGCAUAUCAAUAAGCGGAGGAAUCGAUGCCUUGGUCAUUUAGAGGAAGUAAAAGUCGUAACAAGGUCUCCGUUGGUGACCAGCGGAGGGAUCAUUAAAGAGUUGCAAAACUCCCACAAACCAUCGCGAACGUUACCACACAUAAGUUGCUUCGGCGCGCCGCUCCCGGGUCACACCGGGGCGCCGCCGUAGUGGCCGUAUACAAACUCUUAUUAUAAACCAGUUACAUCUGAGUACUAUACUUAAUAAGUAA